rnacentral:rRNA from 1 species
GGGUCAGUAGGUUGGUCGUGCCACCGGUACGUACUGGUCUCACUGAUCCCUCCUUCCUGUAGAACCGUAAUGCCAUUAAUUUGGUGUUGCGGGGAAACAGGACUGUUACUUUGAAAAAAUUAGAGUGUUUAAAGCAAGCUAACGCUUGAAUACAUUAGCAUGGAAUAAUGAAAUAGGACGAUCGAUCCUAUUUUGUUGGUUUCUAGGAUUGACGUA